CUAUUUUUGAUGGGAGGGAGUGUGUGAUUCCCUCCGGUGUCUGUAUUUUGUCUAUUCUUUUUUGGUCUGUCCUGUGUUUAAGUUUUCUCGCUAGCAGAGUGUCUGCCUUGUUUGAUUUUUCAUAGUAGGUCUGUUUUGACCAUUGUAAUGCCUUGGCCGAGUCCUUGGCCAUGAAGUCUUUAAUUUGCUUGCGGCAGUCUGUCAGUUUUGCGAGAAUGUCAGGGGUGGGCUUUUGUUUGUGUUCGGUUUCUAGGUUCCUGAGGGCCUCCAGGGAUUUUGCUAGUGACUUUAGUUGAGUUUUC